CCUACGGGUGGCAGCAGUGGGGAAUAUUGCACAAUGGGGGAAACCCUGAUGCAGCGACGCCGCGUGAGGGAAGAAGUCUUUCUGUAUGUAAACUUCUAUCAGCAGGGAAGAAAAUGACGGUACCUGCAUAAGCAGCCCCGGCUACCUCCGUUCCAGCAGCCGCGGUCAUACGUAGGGGGCAAGCGUUAUCCGGAUUUACUGGGUGUAAAGGGAGCGUAGGCGGGUUAGCAAGUCAGAAGUGAAAGCCCGGGGCUCAACUCCGGGACUGCUUUUGAAACUGUUGAACUGGAUUGCAGGAGAGGUAAGUGGAAUUCCUAGUGUAGCGGUGAAAUGCAUAGAUAUUAGGAGGAACACCAGUGGCGAAGGCGGCUUACUGGACUGUAAAUGACGCUGAGGCUCGAAAGCGUGGGGAGCAAACAGGAUUAGAUACCCUGGUAGUC
rnacentral:rRNA from 1 species